rnacentral:rRNA from 1 species
CAAGUCGAACGAUGAUCUCCCGCUUGCGGGGGUGAUUAGUGGCGAACGGGUGAGUAAUACGUGAGUAACCUGCCCUUGACUCUGGGAUAAGCCUGGGAAACCGGGUCUAAUACUGGAUACUACUCCUCAUCGCAUGGUGGGGGGUGGAAAGGGUUUUACUGGUUUUGGAUGGGCUCACGGCCUAUCAGCUUGUUGGUGGGGUAAUGGCUCACCAAGGCGACGACGGGUAGCCGGCCUGAGAGGGUGACCGGCCACACUGGGACUGAGACACGGCCCAGACUCCUACGGGAGGCAGCAGUGGGGAAUAUUGCACAAUGGGCGGAAGCCUGAUGCAGCGACGCCGCGUGAGGGAUGACGGCCUUCGGGUUGUAAACCUCUUUCAGCAGGGAAGAAGCCACAAGUGACGGUACCUGCAGAAGAAGCGCCGGCUAACUACGUGCCAGCAG